GAUGAACGCUAGCGGAAGGCAUAAUACAUGCAAGUCGAACGGAUGUAGCAAUACAUUAGUGGCGCACGGGUGCGUAACGCGUAUGCAACCUACCUUCAUCAGGGGGAUAACUACUCGAAAGGGUGGCUAACACCGCAUAAUACUACUGAAUGGCAUCAUUUGGUAUUUAAAUCUGAGGAGGAUGAAGAUGGGCAUGCGUCUGAUUAGCUAGUUGGUGUGGUAACGGCGCACCGAGGCGACGAUCAGUAGGGGAACUGAGAGGUUGGUCCCCCACACUGGCACUGAGAUACGGGCCAGACUCCUACGGGAGGCAGCAGUAGGGAAUAUUGGUCAAUGGUGGGAACACUGAACCAGCCAUUCCGCGUGCAGGAAGAAGGGUCUCUGACUUGUAAACUGCUUUAGCAAGGGAAGAAAAAGCUCAUGCGUGAGAAAUUGACGGUACCUUGAGAAUAAGCACCGGCUAACUACGUGCCAGCCGCCGCCGUAA
rnacentral:rRNA from 1 species